rnacentral:lncRNA from 1 species
CCAUUUUUCAAAAGCCCAAUAGUCAUUUGUGCUACUAGCCAUGAUAUACACAAGGCAGAGAGAAUAUUUCCAUCCUCAGAAAAAUGCUCUCCUGGGCAGGUGCUCAGAGUCUGGCACUCUGCUCAUUGAAGUCAUCUAACACAAAGCGUGUCCACAAUAGUCAGAAUUUCAGGGUGAUAAGAUUGCAGGCAAGUGCUGGGAUGGUCUAGUUAAAUGGGGAAGUGAGAAGUUGAGAGAGGAUUGUUUCACCUGCUCGCUCUCAUUUGCAAACUGUUUGUCUUGUUGGAGGCCUCUGAUUGCACAUAGCCCAGGGAAGGUCUGAGAUCCCAGGGGAAAGAGCAUGAGGAUCUUGAGUAGCCAGCAUGGUCUCAACUGGAGAAGGAAGGGACAGAUGUGCCACUCUCUAUAAUAAUUUCUUGCUGAUGUUUGUGUUCUUAAAGAUUGGCUUGCAGAUUGGCAGUAUGACUCCACCAGCAGUGAUGAGGACAACAAUCAAAGCCUUACCACUGACAACUGCAAAGAUGGCAAACUGGAGGCCUCAGCCUGAACCUCAAAGGAACUGGAGAUUGUUUGGUGUUCGACGG